GUAGCUGGUUUGAGAGGACGACCAGCCACACUGGGACUGAGACACGGCCCAGACUCCUACGGGAGGCAGCAGUGGGGAAUUUUGGACAAUGGGGGAAACCCUGAUCCAGCCAUCCCGCGUGUAUGAUGAAGGCCUUCGGGUUGUAAAGUACUUUUGGCAGAGAAGAAAAGGUAUCUCCUAAUACGAGAUACUGCUGACGGUAUCUGCAGAA
rnacentral:rRNA from 1 species